rnacentral:rRNA from 1 species
CACUCCUGCGGGAGGCAGCAGUGGGGAAUUUUGGACAAUGGGCGAAAGCCUGAUCCAGCAAUGCCGCGUGAGUGAAGAAGGCCUUCGGGUUGUAAAGCUCUUUUGUCAGGGAAGAAACGGUGAAAGCUAAUAUCUUUUGCUAAUGACGGUACCUGAAGAAUAAGCACCGGCUAACUACGUGCCAGCAGCCGCGGUAAUACGUAGGGUGCAAGCGUUAAUCGGAAUUACUGGGCGUAAAGCGUGCGCAGGCGGUUUUGUAAGUCUGAUGUGAAAUCCCCGGGCUCAACCUGGGAAUUGCAUUGGAGACUGCAAGGCUAGAAUCUGGCAGAGGGGGGUAGAAUUCCACGUGUAGCAGUGAAAUGCGUAGAUAUGUGGAGGAACACCGAUGGCGAAGGCAGCCCCCUGGGUCAAGAUUGACGCUCAUGCACGAAAGCGUGGGGAGCAAACAGGAUUAGAUACCCCGGUAGUCCC